AAGUCGUAACAAGGUCUCCGUUGGUGAACCAGCGGAGGGAUCAUUACCGAGUUUACAACUCCCAAACCCAAUGUGAACGUUACCAAACUGUUGCCUCGGCGGGAUCUCUGCCCCGGGUGCGUCGCAGCCCCGGACCAAGGCGCCCGCCGGAGGACCAACCAAAACUCUUAUUGUAUACCCCCUCGCGGGUUUUUUUUAUAAUCUGAGCCUAAAACAAAAUACGUUAAAACUUUCAACAACGGAUCUCUUGGUUCUG
rnacentral:misc_RNA from 1 species